CCUACGGGAGGCAGCAGUGAGGAAUAUUGGUCAAUGGGCGCGAGCCUGAACCAGCCAAGUCGCGUGAGGGAAGACGGUCCUAUGGAUUGUAAACCUCUUUUGUCGGGGAGCAAAAGACGCCACGCGUGGCGUUCCGAGAGUACCCGAAGAAAAAGCCUCGGCUAACUCCGUGCCAGCCGCCCCGGUAAUACGGAGGAUGCGAGCGUUAUCCGGAUUUAUUGGGUUUAAAGGGUGCGCAGGCGGAAGAUCAAGGCAGCGGUAAAAUUGAGGGGCUCAACCUCUUCGAGCCGUUGAAACUGGUUUUCUUGAGUGGGCGAGAAGUAUGCGGAAUGCGUGGUGUAGCGGUGAAAUGCAUAGAUAUCACGCAGAACUCCGAUUGCGAAGGCAGCAUACCGGCGCUCAACUGACGCUCAUGCACGAAAGUGUGGGUAUCGAACAGGAUUAGAUACCCGAGUAGUC
rnacentral:rRNA from 1 species